AGCGAACGCUGGCGGCAGGCCUAACACAUGCAAGUCGAACGAACUCUUCGGAGUUAGUGGCGGACGGGUGAGUAACACGUGGGAACGUGCCUUUAGGUUCGGAAUAACUCAGGGAAACUUGUGCUAAUACCGAAUGUGCCCUUCGGGGGAAAGAUUUAUCGCCUUUAGAGCGGCCCGCGUCUGAUUAGGUAGUUGGUGAGGUAAAGGCGCACCAAGGCGACGAUCAGUAGCUUGUCUGAGAGGAUGAUCAGCCACAUUGGGACUGAGACACGGCCCAAACUCCUACGGGAGGCAGCAGUGGGGGAUCUUGCGCAAUGGGCGAUAGCCUGACGCAGCCAUGCCGCGUGAGUGAUGAAGGUCUUAGGAUUGUAAAAUUCUUUCACCGGGGACGAUAAUGACGGUACCCGGAGAAGAAGCCCCGGCUAACUUCGUGCCAGCCGCCGCCGUAACAC
rnacentral:rRNA from 1 species